ensembl:lncRNA
AAAAACAGUACACAGCAACACUGUUCCUCUCCAGGUUUCUUCCUAGGUUUCUGUCUUUCUGGGGAGUUUUUCCUAGCCACCGUGCUUCUACACCUGCAUUGCUUGCUGUUUGGGGUUUUAGGCUGGGUUUCUGUACAGCACUUUGUGACAUCAGCUGAUGUAAGCUGAUCAGGGCUUUAUAAAUACAUUUGAUUGAUUUUUAACGUGUUACUGAGUCAAGAUGUUAUCACAUCAGGAGAAGAACAAGCGAAGGAAGCAGCAUAGAGGAAGGUAGGGUGGCUUCAUGAAGACAAGAUGGAGAGUUCCACAGUGACUGCAGUUGAGGGACCACGGGGCAUAAAAGGCUUAGUGUGGAAUAAGGGGUAACUAGAGGGAUGGUUGGCCGUGGGAUUAACAUAACAUGGGGUGUGGGUGUGCUUCUGCCUAGAGGGAUGGUUGGCUGUGGAAUUAACAUAACAUGGGGUGGGGUGUGGGUGUGCUUCUGCCUAGAGGGAUGGUUGGCCGUGGGAUUAACAUGGGGUGUGGGUGUGGGUGUGCUUCUGUCUAGAGGGAUGGUUGGCUGUGGGAUUAACAUGGGGUGUGGGUGUGCUUCUGUCUAGAGGAUGGUUGGCCGUGGGAUUAACAUAACAUGGGGUGUGGGUGUGGGUGUGCUUCUGCCUAGAGGGAUGGUUGGCCGUGGGAUUAACAUAACAUGGGGUGUGGGUGUGGGUGUGCUUCUGCCUAGAGGGAUGGUUGGCUGUGGGAUUAACAUAACAUGGGGUGUGGGUGUGCUUCUGUCUAGAGGGAUGGUUGGCUGUGGGAUUAACAUAACAUGGGGUGCUUCUGCACCUCUAUUAGAUCAUUAUAAUAAUAUCCGGCCCCUGUCCAGUCGUACUCCGGGUCAUCUAGCCAGUCUAAAGUUGCUAACCAUGAGCUAGUGUAGCCGAUGUGAAAUGGCUAGCUAGUUAGCAGUGGUGCGCGCUAGUGGCGUUUCAAAUCGGUGACGUCACUUGCUCUGAGACCUUGAAGUAGUAGUUCCCGCAGCUUUUGUGGAGCGAUGGGUAAGAUGCUUCAAGGGUGGCUGUUGACAUGUGCAGAGCGUCCCUGGUUUGCGCCCAGGUCGGGGCGAGGGGACGGACGUAAAGUCUAUACUGUUACACUAGAUAACAGGUAUUGUGUACAUUUUAAACUUUCCCAAGACAGUUCACUGUCAAUGUAUAUAUAUGUAUAUUUUUUUUUGUGAUUUUUUUUUUUUGUGAUUUAUUACAAAAUGUAGCUAAAAUAAUAUAGUUGUUUCAGAGAUUGUUACCUUCGAUUCGGCAGUGUCAUCAUCCUGGUUCUGAUGAGUGAGCUAGCUUGUUCCGUAUGAUAGCCACAUUAGCAGCUAAUUAGCAUUGAUAAAAGUCACCUUUGUCCUAGAGAGAUCUACACGGUUAUCAAAACGCCAGGAUAAACACAAAACACAGCCCUCAUUUGAAGUGUU